AUUUCACCAUUGGGAGCCGGUGCCUUUCGAAGCACUUUCACGUGUGAACCGAAGUCGUCUUGCCCAAGACCCACGGAGACCUACCUAUAGUGACGUCAAAGUACCAGUGAGCAUGGAGGUUUGGUUGAAAUUGGUUACGACGACGUCGAGUUGGCGGCGGAGGAAGACUCGGCAUGAAGGCCAGAAAAUGGUGUGGAACUUAGUGGUAAUAGUACGCACCCCGCUCCGAAAAAAGAAAAAGGUGUGUGCCGCACUCACGAGGGACUGCCAGUGAGAUACUGGAGGAAGGUGGGGAUGACGUCAAGUCCGCAUGGCCCUUAUGGGCUGGGCCACACACGUGCUACAAUGUCAAUGACAAUGGGAAGCAGGGCUGUAAGGCGGAGCGAAUCCAGAAGGAUUUGCCUUAGUUCGGAUUGUUCUCUGCAACUCGGGAACAUGAAGUUGAAAUCGCUAGUAAUUGCGGAUCAGCAUGCCGCGGUGAAUAUGUACCCGGGCCCUGUACACACCGCCCGUCACACCCUGGGAAUUGGUUUCGCCCGAAGCAUCAGACCAAUGAUCACCCAUGACUUCUGUGUACCACUAGUGCCCCAAAGGCCUUUGGUGGUCUUAUUGGCGCAUACCACGGUGGGGUCUUCGACUGGGGUGAAGUCGUAACAAGGUAGCCAUAGGGGAACCUGUGGCUGGAUUGAGUCCUUC
rnacentral:ncRNA from 1 species